rnacentral:sRNA from 1 species
UGAGUGUGAGGGCGCCCGGCCUACAGGC